GUCCUGGUGGCGAAAUCGGUACACGCGAUAGAUUUAGGAUCUAUUGGAGAACUCCAUGCAGGUUCAAGUCCUGUCCAGGACACCA
rnacentral:tRNA from 1 species